rnacentral:rRNA from 1 species
UACGUAGGUAGCGAGCGUUGUCCGGAUUUACUGGGUGUAAAGGGCGCGUAGGCGGAGAGACAAGUCAGAUGUGAAAUCUGGGGGCUUAACCCCCAAACUGCAUUUGAAACUGUCUCCCUUGAGUAUCGGAGAGGCAGGCGGAAUUCCCAGUGUAGCGGUGAAAUGCGUAGAUAUUGGGAGGAACACCAGUGGCGAAGGCGGCCUGCUGGACGACAACUGACGCUGAGGCGCGAAAGCGUGGGGAGCAAAC